CGUAGGGCGCAAGCGUUGUCCGGAUUCACUGGGUGUAAAGGGUGCGCAGGCGGAUUUGUAAGUCAGAGGUGAAAUCUUACGGCUUAACCGUGAAACUGCCUUUGAUACUGCAGAUCUUGAGUUUGGGAGAGGUUGAUGGAAUUCCAGGUGUAGCGGUGAAAUGCGUAGAUAUCUGGAAGAACACCAGUGGCGAAGGCGGUCAACUGGCCCAUAACUGACGCUCAUGCACGAAAGCGUGGGGAUCAAACAGGAUUAGAUACCCUGGUAGUCCACGCCUUAAACGAUGAAUACUUGGUGUUGGCUCUUUUGAGUCAGUGCCGUAGGUAACCUGUUAAGUAUUCCACCUGGGGAGUACGCUCGCAAGGGUG
rnacentral:rRNA from 1 species